GAUGAAGAACGCAGCGAAAUGUGAUAAGUAAUGUGAAUUGCAGAAUUCAGUGAAUCAUCGAAUCUUUGAACGCACCUUGCGCUCCUUGGUAUUCCAAAGAGCAUGCCUGUUUGAGUAUCAUUAAAUUAUCAACUGUACCAAUUUGGUUGCAGAUUGGAUGUGGGAGAUUUUGCAGGCUUUUGAUUUCUCUUUGAGAAAACGGUCAGCUCUCCUGAAAUAUAUUAGCAGUGCCUUUGUUGGUUCAUUAGGUGUGAUAAUUUAUCUACAUUUUCACAUGGUACCUUCAUUUGUGUAAAGGUCAUAUUGCUUCUAAUUGUCUUUGGACAUAAAAAAAAAAAAACAUAUAAUUGUAUGGAAAACUUGAUCUCAAAUCAGGCAGGACUACCCGCUGAACUUAAGCAUAUCAAUAAGCGGAGGA
rnacentral:misc_RNA from 1 species